rnacentral:rRNA from 1 species
CUGAAUAAUUUCGCUGACCGCACGGUCUCGCACCGGCGGCGCAUCUUUCAAAUGUCUGCCUUAUCAACUUUCGAUGGUAGUUUAUGCGCCUACCAUGGUUGUAACGGGUAACGGAGAAUAAGGGUUCGACUCCGGAGAGGGAGCCUGAGAAACGGCUACCACAUCCAAGGAAGGCAGCAGGCACGCAAAUUACCCACUCCCGGUACGGGGAGGUAGUGACGAAAAAUAACGAGACGGUUCUCUACGAGAUUCCGUCAUCGGAAUGGGUACAAUCUAAAUCCUUUAACGAGGAUCUAUUGGAGGGCAAGUCUGGUGCCAGCAGCCGCGGUAAUUCCAGCUCCAAAAGCGUAUAUUAAAGUUGUUGCGGUUAAAAAG